rnacentral:rRNA from 1 species
AUUGAACGCUGGCGGCAGGCCUAACACAUGCAAGUCGAGCGGAUGAAGGGAGCUUGCUCCUGGAUUCAGCGGCGGACGGGUGAGUAAUGCCUAGGAAUCUGCCUGGUAGUGGGGGAUAACGUCCGGAAACGGGCGCUAAUACCGCAUACGUCCUGAGGGAGAAAGUGGGGGAUCUUCGGACCUCACGCUAUCAGAUGAGCCUAGGUCGGAUUAGCUAGUUGGUGGGGUAAAGGCCUACCAAGGCGACGAUCCGUAACUGGUCUGAGAGGAUGAUCAGUCACACGGGAACUGAGACACGGUCCUGACUCCUACGGGAGGCAGCAGUGGGGAAUAGUGGACAAUGGGCGAAAGCCUGAUCCAGCCAUGCCGCGUGUGUGAAGAAGGUCUUCGGAUUGUAAAGCACUUUAAGUUGGGAGGAAGGGCAGUAAGUUAAUACCUUGCUGUUUUGACGUUACCAACAGAAUAAGCACCGGCUAACUUCGUG